UGUACAUGAAGUAUGCAGUGACACGUUUGUUGACAUUUUAAAAUUACAGUUUUCUUGCAAAUUACAAAAUGACAAUUGCUCAAAAGGAUUGGGGCUUACACCACCUUGCUGCCAUGCAGUUUGUAGCAGGUGGAUGUGCAGGUUUUGUAGAAGUUUCAAUAAUGCACCCUUUGGAUUUGGUGAAGACCAGAUUUCAGAUACAGAGGGGGCCUGAAGACCCCAACAGAUAUACCUCACUUGCUGAUUGCUUCAAGAAAAUGUACAGAAAUGAAGGGCCUUUGUCAUUUUAUAAAGGAAUAUUACCUCCAUUACUUGCUGAGACACCAAAGAGGGCUGUUAAAUUCUUCACUUUCGAACGAUAUAAACAUUUGUUUGCAUAUGGUGGAUAUCUGCCACAGUCAAUGAUUUUUACACUUGCUGGACUGUGUUCAGGACUUACAGAAGCUGUAGUUAUAAAUCCAUUUGAAGUUAUCAAAGUAAAGUUACAAGCUGAGAGGAAUGUUCUACUGUCUGAGCAAAAGAGCACAUAUGCAACAGCUCGAGAGAUUCUACGGGAGCAUGGUUUUAGUUCUCAGGGAUUCGGCAAGGGUUUGACAGCUACAUUAGGAAGACAUGGUGUGUUUAACAUGGUCUAUUUUGGAUUUUACCACAAUAUCAAGGGGAUGAUCCCUGAAGCUGAGGAUCAGAAGCUGGAGAUUUUGCGGAGAUUUCUGAUUGGUCUAGCCAGUGGGACACUGUCUUCUGUAAUAAAUAUUCCAUUUGAUGUAGCCAAAAGUCGUAUACAGGGUCCACAACCAGUACCUGGGGAAAUAAAAUAUAGAACGUGUUUUGCUACCAUCGCAACUGUAUAUAAAGAAGAAGGGUUCUUUGCUCUGUAUAAAGGACUGUUACCAAAGAUGCUUAGGUUGGGACCAGGUGGUGCUAUUAUGUUUCUAGUCUAUGAACAUGUUUUUGAUUGGAUGAAGAAUAAUUUGUGAUGAUGGAUCUGACUAGCCAGUAGUAUUUAGAAGCAGAAUUCUGAUUGGAUAAUCUAUAAUCUUUUAUUGAUGGGAAGAUGUAAAGAUAAGUUUGAUUGGCUGUGGUAUUGUCUAUGAGGAUUAUGUUGUCUCAGGAUAGUCAGAAAAUGAUAACUUAAGAACUUUUUCUACAUGUGAAAAUGUCAUCAAAUGUGUGAUUUUCCAGUAGGAGCCCAUAGUGAAAGUUGACUGCAUGGACCAUAUUUUCAAAUCAUUCUAACAAAAGUUCAAGCACAAACCCUAACAUUUUUAUUGGCAGAACUUCCUUCAGAUACAAUGAUGCUUUGAACAAAUUUGGUUGAAUAAAAUUUUAUGUUGUAGAACAAUAUUUGUUUCCGACAUGCAGAACUAUGCCAAAUAGUAUUUUUGUUAAAAUCAGUUUUUAUACUAACAAAAGAUUUGCUAUAUUCCACAAAAUAUACUACUAUUAAUGUUUCUAUUAUUCAAAUGCAUGAUUUUAGAUAUUUAUUUAGAAUCUCUUCCUUUUUCAUUAUAAAUGAUAUUUGUAGAUUUUUUUAAUUGUUUACCAAUUUGUAAAGUCUGAGGGUAAUUAGGUGCUAAAAUAUUUUGUUUCACAUUUAGUCAGAAUAUUUGUUUGGGGGCAAAUACAGAAAGCCUUAGGUAUUUUAUAUAAAUGUAUAUCGUUUAUUGAAAGAGUCAGUUAUUAAUCAUUUACAUCAAAACAGUUAAACUUUUUGGAAAAAGAGAUAUUUUUGCCACGCCAUGAGAAAACCAACAUAAUGCUCCCACGCAGUCUGGUCAGGAUCCAUGCUGUUCGCUUUCAAAGCCUAUUGCAAUUAGAGAAACUGUUAGCGAACAGCAUGGAUCCUGAUUGCACGGAUGCGCAGGCAGGUCUGGAUCCAUGCUGGUCGCAAAAGCACUAUGUUGGUUUUCUCAUGGUGCGGCUCAUUUCAUAAUCAUGACUCAUAACUUCAUAAGACAAAGGCUUUACAAACAAAUAUCAGCAGGUGUCUAGUCAACUUUGAUCAUUGCAGUAUUUAACUCUAUGUGAAAGUAUCAAACAAACCAACAUGAGAUAUACAUGUGCAGAAACCCAAAACAAUGCUUUUGUGCAUGAGGUUCUAAAUUCCUGACACAUGCACAAAAAAUCAAAUAGUGCUUUUAUGUCCAAGAUAUUUAAUUACUGGGGAAUACAAUAUAAUAAUAAUUAUUCAGGUUAACCCAAUAGGGAGUUUGUUGUGAGAAUUUACACAAGAUAUAACAAGAAAAAAUAUUUUAUGGGUUGAUGAGAGAUUUGUCUUGUUAAAACUGUGAUACUUUCAGUGAAUUGGUUGUGAUCUUCAUUUUUUCCUGUGUUUGGUACUGUGGAAUUGAAGUAAUGCUAGUGUAAUAUUUUUGUUAUUACACUAGUGUAAUAACAUUUUGGCAUCAAUGUCAUUUCAAGUGUAGAAGUCAUGCAGAUAGAUUUUUUUUCUCAUUUCCUGCAUUUUAUCACAGUGACUAUGCAUGCUUGAUUUUAAGUGUGCAGGUGUGUAAUCAGAAUCUUUAAAUUGAGCUUCUAGAUGUAUUAUUUUAGCAGAGUUAUGGCCUUUGCAUGUAAUAAUUGUUUACUGUAAAAUCAUUAAUAUUUGUGGGGGACUAAUUUUCAUGGAUUUCAUGGUUUAGUCAAUCCACGAAAUUUAAUCCCAACGAACAAGUAAAAUUCCCAUUCAUUUUAUGUUCAAAAGUUGAAAUCCCAUCAAUUCAUAUCCCCACGAAACUGCUGUUUUGACCUAAACCACGAAAUUUCAUGCCCACAAAAUUAAAUGAAUUUACAGUAGUUUUACUCAAUAUUUCAUUUGGUCUAUACAGAUGCUAAGCAGAUUUUUAUGUACAGGUGUGUUAUGAGGAUCUGCUGAUCAAGUUUUGUUCAUCUUUGAUGAUUUCAGCUACAGUGGCAUUGAUUUUGUUAAAUGAAUAAUUUUUCAAUCGGUUUGAUUUUUGAAGUAGUAUUUGAUUUUUUAACCAGUGUUUGAUUUUUGUUGUUGGUAUUUUUGCCUAGUGUUGAUGUGUUAUUUUUUACUAUACAUGUAAUUUUAUUUGUAUAUUCUGACUGGCAUUUAUAUAAAGUCAACUUAUCAGGGAGACUAAAAUAUAUAAUAAUGUAAAAUAAAAGAUAUGCAUUCUCAAUGUGCCUAUAGUACCGUAAUUGUAUAUUACCUCGAUGAUUUUUAGGCAGUUGUUUUUAGCUCAUCUGAUUUUUUGAAAAAAAAUAAUGAGUUAUUGUCAUCAUUUGAGCGGUUGUCGGCGUCUGCGUCGGCGUUGCCUGGUUAAGUUUUAUGUUUAGGUCAGCUUUUCUCC
rnacentral:misc_RNA from 1 species